rnacentral:piRNA from 1 species
UCGGGAUCGGAAAUCUGGGCAGAUUUGGGA